rnacentral:tRNA from 1 species
UGUUUCUGUAGUUUAAUUGAGAAUAUAGUUUUGAAGUAGCUAAGAUCGAGUUUAUAGUAUUCGUUGAAACAU